AUUGAACGCUGGCGGCAGGCUUAACACAUGCAAGUCGAGCGGGGGAGGUUGCUUCGGUAACUGACCUAGCGGCGGACGGGUGAGUAAUGCUUAGGAAUCUGCCUAUUAGUGGGGGACAACAUUCCGAAAGGUAUGCUAAUACCGCAUACGCCCUACGGGGGAAAGCAGGGGACCUUCUGACCUUGCGCUAAUAUAUGAGCCUAGGUCGGAUUAGCUAGUUGGUGGGGUAAAGGCCUACCAAGGAGACGAUCUGUAGCGGGUCUGAGAGGAUGAUCCGCCACACUGGGACUGAGACACGGCCCAGACUCCUACGGGAGGCAGCAGUGGGGAAUAUUGGACAAUGGGCGGAAGCCUGAUCCAGCCAUGCCGCGUGUGUGAAGAAGGCCUUUUGGUUGUAAAGCACUUUAAGCGAGGAGGAGGCUCUUAAGGUUAAUACCCUUGAUGAGUGGACGUUACUCGCAGAAUAAGCACCGGCUAACUCUGUGCCUGCCGCCGCGGUAACAC
rnacentral:rRNA from 1 species